rnacentral:rRNA from 1 species
UGGCUCAGGACGAACGCUGGCGGCGUGCUUCAUACAUGCAAGUCGAACGAGAAGUUACCUUCGGGUAAUGGAAAGUGGCGGACGGGUGAGUAAUAUGUAGGGAAUCUGCCCUAGAGCGGGGGACAACAGUUGGAAACGACUGCUAAUACCCCAUAUGCGCGUAGCUGAGAUGCUAUUCGUGAAAACUCCGGUGCUCUGGGAUGAGUCUGCAUCUGAUUAGCUAGUUGGCGGUGUAAUGGACCACCAAGGCGACGAUCAGUAGCUGGUUUGAGAGGAUGAUCAGCCACAAUGGGACUGAGACACGGCCCAUACUCCUACGGGAGGCAGCAGUGGGGAAUUUUGCGCAAUGGGCGAAAGCCUGACGCCAGCAACGCCGCGUGAUUGAAUAAGCCCUUCGGGGUGUAAAGAUCUGUCAGUGGGGACGAAACUUGACGGUACCCACAGAGGAAGCAUCGGCUAACUCCGUGCCAGCAGCGGC